rnacentral:lncRNA from 1 species
AUGCGUUCACGCCUAGUUAGCUGUAACAGGGGACCCCAAACCUUUUGGGCCGCCGGACCACUACCAACGCUCAGCCCCCCUCGCCGGCUGGCAGCGCUCACGGGACCCCGGCAGUUUAUGGAUGCAGCGCUCCGGCGGCUACCUGGAGGCCGAGGCCACGCAGAGAGGCGCACACACACACCCCCGCACGGCCCGGGAGAGGGCACGCUGCCUCCGGGGCAGCCCCCGUUAGGAAAUCCACGGAAAGGCGCGGAGCGGGCCGGGGAAGCUCGGGGGACCGAGGCCGCACCGAAGCGCGACCCCAAGCAGCGGGGAGCACCACCGCGGGCAGCGGCGGCUCCGCCGAGCCCUUCCCCGGGACCCCGCGAGCAGAGAGCAGCCCCUGCCCGCCGCCGCCACCGCCCGCCCUACCUGACUGAGACCGCCGCGGAACCGCCGCCGCCCCCAGCUGGCGCUGCCCAAGCGGAGGAUGCCGGGACAGCGCUCCCCUGGGGGCCCCGGGGUGUGCCGGGAGCCGCGCGACAUGCUGGGACUCGUAGUCCGCCGCGAGGCCCGCGUCUCCUUGUCUCUCCCCGCCCCUGCGCGUCUCCCGGUUCCAGGCACCGGAGACGCCGGGCGAGGCUGCGGGCAUCGCCUGGCAGCGGCCUCCGUUGUUGUCGCCGCCGCCCUGGCGGAGCGGUGAGGCCAAGGGGCUGCCCGAGGGGCUGCGGCCGGGGCCUGCGCUGCCGACGGCCGGGGGGAGGCGGGCAGAGGGCGGCUGGGGCCGGGGGACCAGCAGGGGGGGCCCUGCUCCUGUCCUCGCUGAGGUGCCUGGGGGCCGUUGCCGUGACCGGGAGUGCCGGGGCGGGCAGUCCGUAUUGCAUUGACUUCCAGGUACAUGACAAGUCACCGUCACCUAUAGCAUCUGGCUGA